CAAUAGCGUAUAUUAAAGUUGUUGCAGUUAAAAAGCUCGUAGUUGGAUUUGUGGUUCGUCCCGCCGGCUGGGUCAUUGACUUUUGCUGUGCUGGUCGUCCAUCCUUGGGUGGAAUCUGUGUGGCAUUAGGUUGUCGCGCAGGGGAUGCCCAUCGUUUACUGUGAAAAAAUUAGAGUGUUCAAAGCAGGCUUAUGCCGUUGAAUAUAUUAGCAUGGAAUAAUGAUAUAGGACCUUGGUACUAUUUUGUUGGUUUGUGCACUGAGGUAAUGAUUAAUAGGGACAGUUGGGGGUAUUCGUAUUCCAUUGUAAGAGGUGAAAUUCUUGGAUUUUUGGAAGACGAACUACUGCGAAAGCAUUUACCAAGGAUGUUUUCAUUAA
rnacentral:rRNA from 1 species